rnacentral:rRNA from 1 species
UACGUAGGGUGCGAGCGUUGUCCGGAUUUACUGGGCGUAAAGGGCGCGUAGGCGGUCAGCACAAGUCAGUUGUGAAAUCUCCGGGCUUAACUCGGAAAGGUCAACUGAUACUGUGCGACUAGAGUGCGGAAGGGGCAACUGGAAUUCACGGUGUAGCGGUGAAAUGCGUAGAUAUCGUGGAGAACACCCGUGGCGAAGGCGGGCUUCUGGUUGACUUCUGACGCUGAGGUGCGAAAGCUAGGGGAGCGAACGGG